GUUGUGCUCGUACAGAGGCCCAAGCCGGCCGUGCGGCCUCCGCACUCGCCAUGGCGAGAGCGUGCGUGCCAGACCGCCGCCGCCGCCACCCUCGUGGAGGAGCGCUCGUUGCAACGGCCUUCGCCGCAGCCGCCACAUGCUGCUGUCGCUGGAUGAGCAUCACCGCCGCCGCAUCGCGCCUCUCGGCAGCAGCCAACAGGUUACUUUUGCCCUUUCCACGGAACGCGCCCAACGUGUUCGGCGAUUUGCCUACGCACGGACUGACGCUUGAGAUGCUUGGAAGAAGUUGCACCUGAGGCUCAGGUGCUGAUAACGAACUGGUCGGCUCGUACAAGGACGAUAUAUCAUCUGGCAGUUGCACAUGCCACUUCCUGACGGCCGCAACAAGCACCUAACAGAUGCUCGUGAAUGGGCUUGCUCUCAGUUUCCUGAACCUGUACACUCUGGAGCCACCAACAAACACUGCUAGGCCCAAAGCCAUGAGCACCGUUGGGAUCGCGAAACUGAGCCCCCACCAACCAUUGUCCUGCAGCCAAACAAGCAGUGUGCUCGACAGAAGGGAGCCGAGAUUGAGCAGGAAGUAGUACCAGUUGAAGAAGGAGCCCUUCUUCUCCAGCUCUGUCAGGUCCUCGCUGUCGAACUGGUCGGCGCCGAAGGCCGACGCGCAGGGUUUGAUGCCAGCGCUCCCAAGCCCGGCAAGAUAAAGUCCUAGGUACACCACCACAGCAUGAUGAACAUCACCAUGGUAGUAGGAUGUCGGGACUGAUGCUGAGACCGUGAGCACGAGCAUCCCCUAUCAAAUUUGCAGUGUUGAGAGUCACAAUUAUCAUUACAGAGAUCUGGUGGGUUAGCUGUGCUGUGCUAGCCGUACUUACAAUGGUGUAGACCGGAAGGAAAACAACCAUCAUACAGUAUCUUCCCAGAUAUGUGUCAGCCAAGAAGGCCCCAAUAAGUGGCGCGAGGAAGCAUGCGCCAACCCAGGCAGAGACAUCCCGCGCGGCGGCGACCUUGCUUUCGUGGAGCACCGUGGUGAGGUAGGUCACCAAGUUGGACGCGAUUGCAAAGAAGGCGACGCAUUCGCAAAACUCGACGCCUGAGAUGCGUUGAGGGGGUCAGCAGCAAAAAGAGAAGAAGAGAAAAAACAGGAGCAGUUUGCAUGAGUGAAUCACUCUUGUCUGGUACCUAAAAUCAUGUAGCACGCCCUCCAAUUGCCUGUGUUGUGCUUCAGAGCAGGCUGAUUGUUGAUGUCAACAGAUCCAUCGCUGGUGUAUUCUGAACCUACAUCCUACAUCACAGUACCAGGACAUCCAGUUUGGAAAAUUGAAACUGUAAAUCUCUCGCGGAGGACUGACAAGGAGUAAGAGAAGAAGAGAAGUGGAGUGUAAGACAGUAUACCUGAUUAAGCAGCGGUUGCAGAUGUAGCAGGGGCCUCUCCUCGUCUGCUGCUGCUUCCAUGUCUGCUUACAAGAUGGAGCAGAAGGAGGGUCGAGGAAAGGAGCUCGGCAUCGCCUAAAAGUUACCUGCAUGUGCUCUUGUCUACUUUUGGUCUGAAGACUGGUAGGUUGCUUCCAAAUCAGUGGUAGGGUCACUAAGAUAUAUGGUAAAAAGGUGGCAAGUUCAUUCCAGAUCAAGGGAUCGCGUGUGUUGUGACUGCAUUUUCUUUUCUGGAGCAGACACACACCGUUGCAAAGACAAUCAAUGGCGCUGGUGGUGGCCUGAGGAACCAGUUACUAUGAGUCUCUGACUAUUGAUUGAUUAUGUCGGAGGGAUGGUUAAAAUAAAGAGAUGCGACGAAAACUUGAAAGGUGGAGGGAUGGCGAUGGUGGUGUCCAUAUGCACAUAGGGCCCACAAGACGUUCCCACCUGCAGCACGCAGCCAACUCUUUUCUGCCCACUAUUGCCUCAGGUAUUUGCAUUUAUAAGAGAUAUAUGACUACAUAGGAUAGGAACACGUGUGCAGGCUUAACAACACUCAUCAGAAUUAUCAAACCACCCUCUAAACUUGGAAUUAGGAAGUGAUAAACAACA